rnacentral:rRNA from 1 species
AGGACGAACGCUGGCGGCGUGCUUCACACAUGCAAGUCGAACGAGGCUCAUUCGGUGGCAACAUCGGAGAAGGUCUAGUGGCGAACGGGUGAGUAACACGUGAGGAACCUGCCCCGAAGACCGGGAUAACAGCGGGAAACCGCUGCUAAUACCGGAUGACCCCAGCUGGUCGCAUGGCCGGCUGAGGAAAUGGGCAUACCGCUUCGGGAGGGUCUCGCGGCCUAUCAGCUUGUUGGUGGGGUAACGGCCUACCAAGGCUACGACGGGUAGC